rnacentral:rRNA from 1 species
AUUGAACGCUGGCGGCAGGCCUAACACAUGCAAGUCGAACGAGUGGCGGACGGGUGAGUAAUGUCUGGGAAACUGCCCGCUGGAGGGGGAUAACUACUGGAAACGAUAGCUAAUACCGCAUACCAUCGGAUGUGCCCAGAUGGGAUUAGCUAGUAGGUGGGGUAACGGCUAACCUAGGCGACGAUCCCUAGCUGGUCUGAGAGGUUGACCAGCAACACUGGAACGGAGACACGGUCCAGACUCCUACGUGAGGCAGAAGUGGGGAAGAAUGCACAAUGGGGGCAAGCCUGAUGCAGCCAUGCCGCGUGUAUGAAGAAGGCCGUCGGGUUUGAAAGUACUUUCAGCGAGGAGGCGUUACUCGCAGAAGAAGCACCGGCUAACUCCGUGCCAGCAGCCGCGGUAAUUC